rnacentral:rRNA from 1 species
GAGCUUGCUCCUUUGACGUUAGCGGCGGACGGGUGAGUAACACGUGGGUAACCUACCUAUAAGACUGGGAUAACUUCGGGAAACCGGAGCUAAUACCGGAUAAUAUUUCGAACCGCAUGGUUCGAUAGUGAAAGAUGGUUUUGCUAUCACUUAUAGAUGGACCCGCGCCGUAUUAGCUAGUUGGUAAGGUAACGGCUUACCAAGGCGACGAUACGUAGCCGACCUGAGAGGGUGAUCGGCCACACUGGAACUGAGACACGGUCCAGACUCCUACGGGAGGCAGCAGUAGGGAAUCUUCCGCAAUGGGCGAAAGCCUGACGGAGCAACGCCGCGUGAGUGAUGAAGGUCUUCGGAUCGUAAAACUCUGUUAUUAGGGAAGAACAUACGUGUAAGUAACUAUGCACGUCUUGACGGUACCUAAUCAGAAAGCCACGGCUAACUACGUGCCAGCAGCCGCGGUAAUACGUAGGUGGCAAGCGUUAUCCGGAAUUAUUGGGCGUAAAGCGCGCGUAGGCGGUUUUUUAAGUCUGAUGUGAAAGCCCACGGCUCAACCGUGGAGGGUCAUUGGAAACUGGAAAACUUGAGUGCAGAAGAGGAAAGUGGAAUUCCAUGUGUAGCGGUGAAAUGCGCAGAGAUAUGGAGGAACACCAGUGGCGAAGGCG